rnacentral:misc_RNA from 1 species
CCGAGUUUACAACUCCCAAACCCCUGUGAACUAUACCUUUACGUUGCCUCGGCGGCGUCCGCUUCGGCGGCGUCCGCUUCGGCGGCCCGCCAGAGGACCCAAACUCUUGUAUUUGAAUUGAGUAUUCUCUGAGUGAUACAAGCAAUAAAUUA